rnacentral:SRP_RNA from 1 species
GCCAGGCGCAGUGGCGCAUGCCUGUAGUCCCAGCUACUCGGGAGGCUGAGGUGGGAGGAUCGCUUGAGCCCAGGAGUUCUGGGCUGUAGUGGCUAUACCGACGAGGUGUCCACACUAAGUUCGGCAUCAGUAUGAUGACCUCCUGGGAGUGGGGGACCACCAGGUUGCCUAAGGACGGGUGAAUCGGCCCAGGUCAGAAACAGAGCAGGUCAAAACUCCCAUGCUGAUCAGUAGGGGAAUCGCGCCUGUGAACAGCCACUGCACUCCAGCCUGGGCGACAGAGUGAGAUUCCAUCUCA